AUGAAAGUUGAAUAAAACAAAAGGACAUGGUCUGGACAUGGCCUGCACAUAGGACAGAAACUUUUAUUCCUCAGAAUUCCUUUCCCAUUUCCUUACACGAUUGUUUUUCCUUUCUUUGCUGACCUGCCAUCCAAUGGUAAUGCGGGUGAUGAUGAUUGUGUCUCUUGGUUCUCCAACUUAGCAGCUCCAUUGAUCUUCAACAGCCCCCCGCAAGAUGGAGAGUAGAUAUCUACUACUCCCAUCUUGGACAUGCAAGAAUAAAAGCUUUGUGGCAGUCAAUCUCUAUAUGCUUGGUCCUCUCAUGGAAGACAUGAUUGGUGGCUAUAUACAGAGCUGGUUUGUUAUCACAGUAUAGAAAGGCUGCUUGAGGAUGUUCAACAUGUGAUGAUGAUUGUGUCUCUUGGUUCUCCAACUCAGCAGCUACAUUGAUCUUCAACAACAAUAGAAAUUGGGAGAGAUCGAACAAAAAGUAGAGGGGAAGCACAAAAACUAAGAAAUGAUAUUGUGAAAAAAUGUAAAAGAGAGAGAAAACUUUGAAAUAUAUUAACUAUUGAUAAAAUUUGAAAUUAAUAAAUGAAGCCUACAAGUAGGGCUAACUAGCUACAAAAUUUAAAAUUACGAAGAUUUUUUUUUUCAAAAAGAGAAAAUUCAUAUUAUUGCAUGAAAAUUAAUUACGUGAGUAAACAAGAAUCUUCUAAAAAAAUCUGGUCAAAAUUAAAAUAAUAAUUACUUCCAAAACUUGAAAUGAAAUAUCUUCGAAGAAGACAAAAGUGAACAUAAAUAGAAGAUUAGGGAAAAAAAAAAAACUGAAAUUGCUUGUAGAGUACUAGGAAAUUAUGCUAUUUCAACUCAAAAGUCUAGGUCUUUGUGUUGUUCAUCGUGAACAUUGAACUCUUGAAAUAGAGCACGAUUGUGAUACAAGAUUUUAAAACUGGAGUUAGAAUUAUGAUCAUGCAUCUAAGCUUGCAGGUUUUGUGCCUCUAGAUGUUGAGCUAAUUUCGCUAUUUUCUUCUACAAAUUUACAAUCAUCAUGUCCUAAAAGUUACGAUCAUGGUGAGGGGCUUCCUCAGUCAGAACUUGCCCAUGUCGAUCAUGAUCUCUACCACUAGCCAUGAAAGCUGACGAUAAAUCACUCUAGGAAAAUACCCAAAGUCUCGCAAAUGGAGGUGCUUGACAGGACAAAGGAUCUGAAAGAGAAUGAGAAAAUAGUUUGGUCAAAGGUACCAAACCAGGUCUUGUAUUACACUUAUAUAGAUUAGUAUAUUACAACUGAAAAAGGAAAUUUGCAAUCUUGGUAUCUGUAUAUGAUUCUCUAUACUAUAAAUGGAAAUAAUACAUUUGCUAAAUUACUGAACUUUGACCACUAGUAGUGGGAUUCUUAGUUGACUUCCUGUGAUGUGUUGAGCUAGAUAUGGUUAGUGUAUCAUCUUCUUUAACAUUCCCUCACAAGCUGACGAGGAGAUGAUGAACUAGAAACUUGUUCUUGAGGAUUGAGAAUCAAGCAGGGGACAAGCCUUUUGGGAAGAUGUUAGCUCCCUGGUCUUGAGUAGAGAUGAACCGGAUGAGGAUAUCACCAUUCAUAACCUUUUUUUGGAUAAAAUGGUAAUCAACUUCGAUAUGCUUGGUUCUUGCAUAGAAGAUAGGGUUAGAAGGCAAGGUUAGAGCACUAACAAUAUUACACCAUAGAAUGGGAGCUUGAAGAAGAGAAUAUGUAACUCUUUGGAAACCAUGCGUAACCAAAAAAGUUCCAGUUGUGGUGUGUGACAUUCGCUCUAUUCUAAGUUUUAGUGCUUGACCAAGAGACCACAACUUGCUUCUUGCCACUCUAUGAGACUAGUCAAUUCCCAAGGAAUGAUCCAAAAACUGAGGUGGAACACGUCAUUUGAGUUGUCAGCCCAGUUUGAAUCGCAAAAGGCUUGGAGAUCCAAGUGAGACUUGAAAUAGAACAAACCUUAGUCAAUUUUGUGCUUGAGAUAUUUAGGACAUGCUUGGCAGCAGACCAAUGUGCAGUAGUAAGAGAGUGCAUGUUGACACAAUUGGUUGAUAGCAAAGGCAAUGGGAGAUGUGUUCAUUUGCAGUACUGCAAUGAACCAAUGACUUGUCUAUACUUAGUGGGAUCAAGCAAGAUUUCACUGUCAUGUUUAUCGAUUUUGGAGCCCGAGCUCAAAGGGGAGGGAGAUGGUUUGGCUCCAAGCAUCCGAGAGCGAUGAAGUAUGUCCAAAAUAUAUUUGACUUGGCAAAGGUGAAGACCAUCUAAGUUACAAACUACUUGGAUGUCGAGCAAAUAACCAAGGGGGCCUAAGUGAUUGACAAGGAAUUGUGGUUGUAAUUGAGUCACAAGAGAUGUAAUCGAAGGGAGAUGAGUCCUAGUGGUGAUAAUUUUAUCAACAUAAAUGAGUAGAAAAAUCUUGGUGUUGCCUUGAACGAAGAUAAAAAGAGAGGAAUCCACCAAAGAGGCCUUGAACCUGAGAGCUAGUAGAGCUAAAGAUGAGAAAUAGAAGAUAAGCAAUAGAACCAAGCUCAAUGAGCUUGUUUAAGGCCAUAGAUGAACUUGCUGAGGUGACAAAUGCAAUAUGGAUGGAGUGGAUCUAUAAAAUCUUGAGGCUACUUCAUAUACACUUCUUCCAUAAGAUUGCCUUGGAAGAAGGCACUAGAUACAUCAAGUUGAUGGGUGGGCCAAUGAAAAUGGAUUGUAAGGGACAAAAUGACGUGAAUGGUAGAGGUUUUGAUAACAAUGAUGAAAGUUUUUGUGUAGUUUAUCCCAACUUUUUGAUCAAAUCUAUUGGCAAUAAGGCAUAACUUGAACCUAUCAAUUGAACCUUCUAGCCUUUGUUUAAUCUUGUAAACCCAUUUAUUGUGUAUGACAUUAUCAUGUGGAGGUCAUGGACAAAAAGUCCAAGUUGUAGUAGAGGUAAGUGUUGCAAAUUCAUCUGACAUAGUAGCUUACCACCAUGGAUCAACAAAGGCUAUAAUGAUGCAAGUGGGCUAGUCUGUGACUCGGUCUCAAAUGUGUUCUUCCAAGUGUAGAAGUGUCAAGUUGUAUCAAGGAUAAGUCCAUGAUCGUAUUCCACAUGGACAAAAGAUUAUCAAAGCAUUUGUGACAUUUUUCUAUGGUAAAAGAUGCAUCGACUAUGAAAGAUGAAAAUAAAUGUGAGUCUAUGUUUCUAAAAUUACCAAGAACCAAGAGAUUUAAGGAAAAUGUGUAGAAGUUGAAUUAAACAUGUAAGAAGCAAUAAAACAAACACUUGGGAUGCAAUUUUCGCUCAUUUCUAAUUUAAAGUUGGAUUUACCUCUAAUUUCAUCUUCUCUCAACCAUUUUCUCAUUCCAAGAGAUUAUAAUCGAUUAAUUAAACAAUAAGCACACUUUUUAGUAUAAUCAAGGUGCUUGGCAGAUUUUAUAACAAGUGUAAAAGUGAAAGAAAGCCAUCAAAAUCUUGUUACAAGUUCAAGCAUCAAUCGUGCCUUUAUGUCUACGACUGAUCAAGUUCAAGAACAUAGAACUUUAAUCCUUCCUAUAGGCAAAAUGAAAUACAAUCUAUCAAGCUAAUCAUUCAAAAUUCUAUAACCUUGAAGAAAAUCCAACCCAAAAUAGUUAUGAGUUACUCAUUGAAUCCCAAGCUAAAAAUCUAGCCUAUCAUUUCUAAAUUAGCAAAAUGCCCAAAAAUGAUGAACCCUAACAUUUCCAAGUUGUUGUAUGAAAAUAAAUGUAGAAGAAUAAAAAUAACAAGCUAAAUGAUAAUCAAAAUGAUUUAAAGAAAAAAGUACCGAAAACAUCCAAAUGAAAAACUGCAAGAAAAAUAAACUACGAAACACAAUAAUCUAUAAACCCAUGAAAAAUGAAUGAACAACUAAAACUGGGAAAGCAAAAAAAUAAAAACCGAGAGAGCUCCCAGCCACCGCCUCCAAGUCUGGAACUGAAAAGAACGAUGAAGAAGCAACAAAUAAAAGAAAAAAAAAAUCAACUUUGAGAGGGAGAGAGAGAGAGCCUCCCAUCGACCCUCCUAAAUGAAAACGUAAAAUAAAACAAAAGAAAAAGUAGACAAGCCCUACCGCCAAGGUUUUUGUCUCCACAAGACAAAGAAAAUAAAAAAAUAAAAAAAACAAUAACUCAAAACCCAAAAAGUAAACUUCAUGCUGACUCCACUCUCCACUAAAAACAAGUAUUGAAUAAAAAUAAUAAGUGAAUGCCGACUAAGGUCUGGAAAGCCAAAAACUCAAAAUAAAAUCCGGUCCAGUCUGCCACUCCUAGGCCGUUUCCUCAGUGACCUGCUAUGGUCCCAGGACGUGAACUAUUGUGAGGCCAUCUGCCAGUCCCUCCCCUUACAUCUUGCUCUACUAUCAAUUUCUUUGUGUAUAUUUGGGUGAUUCCAAAAUUACCCAUUUGUUGCAAAAUUCCUCUCAAAUGAGGUGUAGGCAGCUCAUAUAUUUU